GACGAACGCUGGCGGCGUGCUUAACACAUGCAAGUCGAACGAAGUGGCGAACGGGUGAGUAACGCGUAAUCAACCUGCCCUUCAGAGGGGGUCAACAGUUGGAACCGACUGCUAAUACCGCAUACUGAAGGAGGGGUUUGCGUCUGAUUAGCUAGUUGGAGGGGUGACGGCCCACCAAGGCGAUGAGCAGUAGCCGGUCUGGGGGGAUGGACGGCCAAAAUGGGACUGGGACAAGGCCCAGACGCCUACGGGAGGCAGCAGUGGGGAAUCUUCCGAAAUGGACGAAAGUCUGACGGAGCAACGCCGCGGGGGUGAUGGCGGCCUUCGGGUUGGAAAGCUCUGUUAAUCGGGACGCGGUACCGGAAUAGAAAGCAACGGCUAACUACGUGCCAGCCGCCGCGGUAAUAC
rnacentral:rRNA from 1 species